rnacentral:rRNA from 1 species
CUGGCGGCGUGCUUAACACAUGCAAGUCGAACGAAGCACUUUUAGCGGACUGGAGAGCUUGACUCAAAGGAAAGAUAAAAGUGACUGAGUGGCGGACGGGUGAGUAACGCGUGGGUAACCUGCCUCAUACAGGGGGAUAACAGUUAGAAAUGACUGCUAAUACCGCAUAAGCGCACAGCAUCGCAUGAUGCAGUGUGAAAAACUCCGGUGGUAUGAGAUGGACCCGCGUCUGAUUAGCUAGUUGGUGAGGUAACGGCUCACCAAGGCGACGAUCAGUAGCCGACCUGAGAGGGUGACCGGCCACAUUGGGACUGAGACACGGCCCAGACUCCUACGGGAGGCAGCAGUGGGGAAUAUUGCACAAUGGGGGAAACCCUGAUGCAGCGACGCCGCGUGAGUGAAGAAGUAUUUCGGUAUGUAAAGCUCUAUCAGCAGGGAAGAUAAUGACGGUACCUGACUAAGAAGCCCCGGCUAACUACGUG